AAACCAACAGGGAUUGCCUCAGUAACGGCGAGUGAAGCGGCAAAAGCUCAAAUUUGAAACCUUCGGGAUUGUAAUUUGAAGAUUUGGCAUUGGAGAAAGCUAACCCAAGUUACUUGGAAUAGUACGUCAUAGAGGGUGACAACCCCGUCUGGCUAACCGUUCUCCAUGUAUUGCCUUAUCAAAGAGUCGAGUUGUUUGGGAAUGCAGCUCAAAGUGGGUGGUAAACUCCAUCUAAAGCUAAAUACUGGUGAGAGACCGAUAGCGAACAAGUACUGUGAAGGAAAGGUGAAAAGAACUUUGAAAAGAGAGUGAAAUAGUAUGUGAAAUUGUUGAUAGGGAAGGAAAUGAGCGGAGAGUGGUUGAGGUUUCAGUUGACCUUUGGGUUAAUGUAUUGCCAACGCCGAGUCAUUGUCAGCGAGACGGGAGCUAUAAACGGGUUGUACUUGUACCUCCCACCUACCUCCCCCACUGCCGUCAACGACAUAAUCCGCCCAUUUCAC
rnacentral:rRNA from 1 species